rnacentral:rRNA from 1 species
AGAACAAACGCUGGCGGCGUGCCUAACACAUGCAAGUCGAACGAGGUAGCAAUACCAAGUGGCGCACGGGUGAGUAACGCGUGGGUAAUCUGCCUCAGAGUGGGGAACAACCAGUCGAAAGAUUGGCUAAUACCGCAUGAGACCACAAAGUCCGAGGACUAAGGGGUCAAAGAUUUAUCGCUCUGAGAUGAGCCCGCGUCAGAUUAGGUAGUUGGUAGGGUAACGGCCUACCAAGCCAACGAUCUGUAGCUGGUCUGAGAGGACGAUCAGCCACACUGGAACUGAGACACGGUCCAGACUCCUACGGGAGGCAGCAGUGGGGAAUAUUUCGCAAUGGGCGCAAGCCUGACGAAGCAACGCCGCGUGAGUGAUGAAGGAUUUCGGUUCGUAAAGCUCUGUUGCAGGGGAAAAGAAGUGAUUGUACCCUGCUAGAAAGGGACGGCCAACUUCGUGCCAGCAGCCGC